rnacentral:lncRNA from 1 species
AGGGCAGGUGGUAGUACCAAAUGAUUUACAACUUUUCCUACUCUGCCAAAAAUCUCAAGGGAACUACCUAUCUAAAACUAAGCUUGCUACGAAUGCUAAUCCUCAUCAUACUCUUGGUUGGAGAGACCCAUAGAAAACAUGAUCCCCUACUUGUCCAGCUCCCUUCUUCUACUUUCUGCAUAACUUUUUUGCCUGUUUUGAAUUGUC